GGGUGCACAGCCCAUAUCCUAAAAUUGGAACAAUAUAGUGAAGAUCAGCAUGAUCUUCAUCCCAUGCAAGGAUGACAUGCAAACUUGUGAAGUGUUCCAUAAAGAA